UCCAGAGUGUUGUUUGUUGUUGGACAGCUUGAUCGAAACGGACAUCUUCUGUUCCAUUUGCAUCAUUUUUUGAAAAAGCAUUGGAUUCUGGCCUGGCCGUCUUAACUCUCAGCGGAAAGCAGGCGCUAUAUAAAAAGGAAGAACAAAAAAAAA